rnacentral:rRNA from 1 species
AACGAACGCUGGCGGCAUGCCUAACACAUGCAAGUCGAACGAAGCCUUCGGGCUUAGUGGCGCACGGGUGCGUAACGCGUGGGAAUCUGCCCUUGGGUUCGGAAUAACAGUUAGAAAUGACUGCUAAUACCGAAUGAUGUCUUCGGACCAAAGAUUUAUCGCCCAAGGAUGAGCCCGCGUCGGAUUAGCUAGUUGGUGAGGUAAAGGCUCACCAAGGCGACGAUCCGUAGCUGGUCUGAGAGGAUGAUCAGCCACACUGGGACUGAGACACGGCCCAGACUCCUACGGAGGCAGCAGUGGGGAAUAUUGGACAAUGGCGAAAGCCUGAUCCAGCAAUGCCGCGUGAGUGAUGAAGGCCUUAGGGUUGUAAAGCUCUUUUACCCGGGAUGAUAAUGACAGUACCGGAG